AACGAACGCUGGCGGCAUGCCUAACACAUGCAAGUCGAACGAGACCUUCGGGUCUCGUGGCGCACGGGUGCGUAACGCGUGGGAACCUGCCCUUAGGUUCGGAAUAACUCCCCGAAAGGGGUGCUAAUACCGGAUAAUGUCUUCGGACCAAAGAUUUAUCGCCUUUGGAUGGGCCCGCGUUGGAUUAGCUAGUGGGUAGGGUAAAAGCCUACCAAGGCGACGAUCCAUAGCUGGUCUGAGAGGAUGAUCAGCCACACUGGGACUGAGACACGGCCCAGACUCCUACGGGAGGCAGCAGUGGGGAAUAUUGGACAAUGGGCGAAAGCCUGAUCCAGCAAUGCCGCGUGAGUGAUGAAGGCCUUAGGGUUGUAAAGCUCUUUUACCCGGGAUGAUAAUGACAGUACCGGGAGAAUAAGCUCCGGCUAACUCCGUG
rnacentral:rRNA from 1 species